rnacentral:tRNA from 1 species
GGGCGGUUAGCUCAGUUGGCUAGAGCGCGUCGUUGACAUCGACGAGGUCACAGGUUCAAGCCCUGUAUCGCCCACCA